rnacentral:lncRNA from 7 species
CGCAGAAGGAAGAAAGGAGCACGUAACAACUGUAGCUAAUAAUCAGGGAUAUGGUUGUUACUCUGUUUCCUUGGUUGGUUUAGUUCCUAAAAAUAGCAUACUAGUUUCCCAAAAGUAUCUGCUGGUUUCUUAAGCUAUAAGUCACCUACAUCUAUAAAGGUGCAAGCCAUAGUUGGUAUUAGGCAUCAAAGGAAGAAAGAUGUCCCAAUAGGGCGGGAUCAUCUUUGACCAUCCUGGUCGGGCACAGCACCAGCGCCG